AGCGAACGCUGGCGGCAUGCUUAACACAUGCAAGUCGAGCGCCCCGCAAGGGGUGCUGCCGACGGGUGAGUAACGCGUGGGAACGGACCCUUAUCUGCGGGAUAGCUCCGCGAAACUGGAAUUAAUACCUAAUGUGCCCUUUGGGGGAACGAUUUAUCGGAUAAGGAUCGGGCCGCGUUGGAUUAGCUGGGUGGUGGGGUAAAGGCCUACCAAGGCGACGAUCCAUAGCUGGUCUGAGAGGGGGAUCAGCCACAUUGGGACUGAGAAACGGCCCGAACUCCUACGGGAGGCAGCAGUGGGGGAUAGUGGAACGUGGGGGGAAGGCUGAUCCAGCCAUGCCGGGUGAGUGAUGAAGGCAGUAGGGUUGUAAAGCUGGUUUACCGGAGAAGAUAAUGACGGUAUCUGGAGAAGAAGCCCCGGCUAACUUCGUG
rnacentral:rRNA from 1 species